GAAAUUCAAUUCAAAUUUUGGGCAGAACCUCCCCUGUAAUUUGCCAUUCCUGUAGACACAAUCCACAUAUACAUUUUUCAACACACAACUUUCAAAUUUGCCAAUGGCAUGAGGCAUAAACAUGCAGACUCACAUCCAAGUACACAUAUAUGAUUUACAACAUAUCCAGGUUAGUUCAAGUCCACACACACAUGAAAUUAGCAACCCAAAAGUGACUCACAUCAUACCCAGGUUCACAUGCAUGAGUCCAACUCCACAUACAUCACAUUAGCAACCCAAAAGUGGCUCACAUCAUACCCAGAUUCACAUACAUGAGUCCAACUCCACACAACAUGACAUGAGCAGCAACAAAAGUGACUUUAAGUGCAAGAAAUUAGAUGGAGUUCACAAGCUUAGUCUUCUUUUGCUUCUUGUGCCCAUUGCAGGGCUAGUUGGGUAAGCUUUUUUGCUUCUAGUGCCCAUUGCAGGGCUGUGAAAUGGCACCAUCGGAUUAUUUUGAUCCUUUUUUAGCAAGCUUCAUCUUCCUUGUGGCCCUAAAAAGAAAGACAUGGUUGUCAAAUUAUUAUAGUGCAUGCAAUACAUAUGGAUAUAUUUGAUACAUGUAUGGCAGCAAACAACAAUAUUAACUAUUCAUAAUAUGUGAUAUUAAAAUUCAGAAACAGAAAAGGUCACCUUUUCCCCCCUUUUGCAUUUUUCUUGUUUGUAGUCUCCAAUGUUUGGUUAUGUUUUCCCUUUUUCUUGGUUGUAGUUGAAGGAAAUAUGCCCUAGAGGCAAUAAUAAAGUUAUUAUUUAUUUCCUUAUAUCAUGAUAAAUGUUUAUUAUUCAUGCUAGAAUUGUAUUAACCGGAAACAUAAUACAUGUGUGAAUACAUAGACAAACAUAGUGGCACUAGUAUGCCUCUACUUGACUAGCUCAUUGAUCAAAGAUGGUUAUGUUUCCUAACGAUAGACAUGAGUUGUCAUUUGAUUAACGGGAUCACAUCAUUAGGAGAAUGAUGUGAUUGACUUGACCCAUUUUGUUAGCUUAGCACUUGAUCGUUUAGUUUGUUGCUAUUGCUUUCUUCAUGACUUAUACAUGUUCCUAUGACUAUGAGAUUAUGCCACUCCCGUUUACCGGAGGAACACUUUGUGUGCUACCAAACGUCACAACGUAACUGGGUGAUUAUAAAGGUGCUCUACAGGUGUCUCCGAAGGUACUUGUUGGGUUGGUGUAUUUCGAGAUUAGGAUUUGUCACUCCGAUUGUCGGAGAGGUAUCUCUGGGCCCUCUCGGUAAUGCACAUCACAUAAGCCUUGCAAGCAUUGCAACUAAUAAGUUAGUUGCGGGAUGAUGUAUUAUGGAACGAGUAAAGAGACUUGCCGGUAACAAGAUUGAACUAGGUAUUGAGAUACCGAUGAUCAAAUCUCGGACAAGUAACAUAGCGAUGACAAAGGGAACAACGUAUGUUGUUAUGCGGUCUGACCGGUAAAAGAUCUUCAUAUAAUAUGUAGGAAUCAAUAUGAGCAUCCAAGUUCCGCUAUUGGUUAUUGACCGGAGACGUGUCUCGGUCAUGUCUACAUUGUUCUCGAACCCGUAGGGUCCGCACACUUAACGUUACGAUGACAGUUUCAUUAUGAGUUUAUAUAUUUUGAUGUACCGAAGGUUGUUCGGAGUUCCGGAUGGGAUCACAGACAUAACGAGGAGUCUCGAAAUAGUCGAGACAUAAAGAUUGAUAUAUUGGACGACUAUAUUCGGACACAGGAAUGGUUCCGGCAGUUAUCGGAUAUAAAACGGAGUACCGGGGGUUACCGGAACCCCCCCCCCUCCCCGGGGGGUUAAUGGGCCUCAUGGGCCCAAAGUGGAGCAGAGGAGGGGCGGCUAGGGCAGGCUGCACGCCCCCUCCCCCUCUAGUCCGAAUUGGACAAGGAGGGAGGGGCGGCGCUGUUGGAAAUAUGCCCUAGAGGCAAUAAUAAAUUGGUUAUUAUUAUAUUUCCUUGUUCAUGAUAAUCGUUUAUUAUCCAUGCUAGAAUUGUAUUGAUAGGAAACUCAGAUACAUGUGUGGAUACAUAGACAACACCAUGUCCCUAAUAAGCCUCUAGUUGACUAGCUCGUUGAUCAAUAGAUGGUUACGGUUUCCUGGCCAUGGACAUUGGAUGUCGUUGAUAACGGGAUCACAUCAUUAGGAGAAUGAUGUGAUGGACGAGACCCAAUCCUAAGCCUAGCACAAAGAUCGUGUAGUUCGUAUGCUAAAGCUUUUCUAAUGUCAAGUAUCAUUUCCUUAGACCAUGAGAUUGUGCAACUCCCAGAUACCGUAGGAGUGCUUUGGGUGUGCGAAACGUCACAACAUAACUGGGUGGCUAUAAAGGUACACUACAGGUAUCUCCGAAAGUGUCUAUUGGGUUGGCACGAAUCGAGACUGGGAUUUGUCACUCCGUGUAAACUGAGAGGUAUCUCUGGGCCCACUCGGUAGGACAUCAUCAUAAUGUGCACAAUGUGAUCAAGGAGUUGAUCACGGGAUGAUGUGUUACGAAACGAGUAAAGAGACUUGCCGGUAACGAGAUGGAACAAGGUAUCAGGAUAUCGACGAUCGAAUCUCGGGCAAGUAUCGUACCGAUGGACAAAGGGAAUUGUAUAUGGGAUUGAUUAAAUCCUUGACAUCGUGGUUCAUCCGAUGAGAUCAUCGUGGAACAUGUUGGAGCCAACAUGGGUAUCUAGAUCCCGCUAUUGGUUAUUGGCCAGAGAGUUGUCUCUGUCAUGUCUGCAUGGUUCCCGAACCCGUAGGGUCUACACACUUAAGGUUCGAUGAUGCUAGGGUUAUAGGGAAUAGAUAUACGUGGUUACCGAAUGUUGUUCGGAGUCCCGGAUAAGAUCCCGGACGUCACGAGGAGUUCCGAAAUGGUCCGGAGGUAAAGAUUUAUAUAUGGGAAGUCCUGUUUUGGUCGCCGGAAAAGUUUCGGGUUUUAUCGGUAAUGUACCGGGACCACCGGGAGGGUCCCGGUGGUCCAUCAAGUGGGGCCACCAGCCCCGGAGGGCUGCAUGGGCCAAGUGUGGGAGGGGACCAGCCCCAAGUGGGCUGGUGCGCCCCCCCACAAGGGCCCAAGGCACCUAGGGUUUGGGGAGGGGGCGCCUCCACCUAGCUUGGGGGGCAAGUUUCCCCUCUCCCCCCCUUGGCCGCCACCCUAGAUGGGUUUGGGACUGCCGCACCCCUUGGGGUGGAAACCCUAAAGGGGGCGCACCCCCCUCCCUCUCCCCUAUAUAUACCUGAGGACUUUGGGGCUGCCAACACAUGAGUUUUGACCUCUCCAUGGCGCAGCCCUGCCUCUCUCCCUACUCCUCUCCCGCGGUGCUUGGCGAAGCCCUGCAGGAUUGCCACGCUCCUCCACCACCACCACGCCGUCGUGCUGCUGCUGGAUGGAGUCUUCCCCAACCUCUCCUUCUCCCCUUGCUGGAUCAAGGCGUAGGAGACGUCACCGGGCUGCACGUGUAUUGAACGCGGAGGUGCCGUCCAUUCGGCACUAGGAUCUCCGGUGAUUUGAAUCACGACGAGUACGACUCCAUCAACCCCGUUCACUUGAACGCUUCCGCUUAGCAAUCUACAAGGGUAUGUAGGUGCACUCUCCUUCCCCUCGUUGCUAGAUUACUCCAUAGAUUGAUCUUGGUGAUGCGUAGAAUUUUUUUUAAUUUCUGCUACGUUCCCCAACAGUGGCAUCAUGAGCUAGGUCUAUGCGUAGUUUCUAUGCACGAGUAGAACACAAAGCAGUUGUGGGCAUUGAUUUUGUCAAUUUACUUGCCGUUACUAGUCUUAUCUUGAUUCGGCGACAUCGUGGGAUGAAGCGGCCCGGACCGACCUUACACGUACGCUUGCGUGAGACUGGUUCCACCGACUGACAUGCACUAGUUGCAUAAGGUGGCUAGCGGGUGUCUGUCUUUCCCACUUUAGUCGGAUCGGAUUCGAUGAAAAGGGUCAUUAUGAAGGGUAAAUAGAAAUUGGCAUAUCACGUUGUGGUUUUGGCGUAGGUAACAAACGUUCUUGCUAGAAACCUAUAGCAGCCACGUAAAAACUUGCAACAACAAUUAGAGGACGUCUAACUUGUUUUUGCAGCAUAUGCCUUGUGAUGUGAUAUGGCCAAAAGGAUGUGAUGAAUGAUAUAUGUGAUGUAUGAGAUUGAUCAUGUUCUUGUAAUAGGAAUCACGACUUGCAUGUCGAUGAGUAUGACAACCGGCAGGAGCCAUAGGAGUUGUCUUAAUUUAUUUAUGACCUGUGUGUCAACAUAAACGUCAUGUAAUUACUUUACUUUAUUGCUAAAGCGUUAGCCAUAGUAGUAGAAGUAAUAGAUGACGAGACAACUUCAAGAAGACACGAUGAUGGAGAUCAUGAUGAUGGAGAUCAUGGUGUCAUGCCGGUGACAACGAUGAUCAUGGAGCCCCGAAGAUGGAGAUCGAGAGGAGCAAAAUGAUAUUGGCCAUAUCAUGUCACUAUUUGAUUGCAUGUGAUGUUUAUCAUGUUUUACAUCUUAUUUGCUUAGAACGGCGGUAGCUUAAAUAAGAUGAUCCCUCACUAAAAUUUCAAGAAAGGUGUUCCCCCUAACUGUGCACCAUUGCGAAGGUUCGUUGUUUCGAAGCGCCACGUGAUGAUCGGGUGUGAUAGAUUCUAACGUUCGAAUACAACGGGUGUAAGCCAGAUUUACACAGCAAAAACACUUAGGUUGACUUGACGAGCCUAGCAUGUACAUACAUGGCCUCGGAACACGGAAGACCGAAAGGUCGAGCAUGAGUCGUAUAGAAGAUACGAUCAACAUGAAGAUGUUCACCGAUGUUGACUAGUCCGUCUCACGUGAUGAUCGGACACGGCCUAGUUGACUCGGAUCAUGUUUCACUUAGAUGACUAGAGGGAUGUCUAUCUGAGUGGGAGUUCAUUAAAUGAACUCAAUUAUCAUGAACAUAGUCUAAAUUGUCUUUGCAAAUAUGUUGUAGAUAAAUAGCUCAUGUUGUAGCUCCCUGUUUCAAUACGUUCCUAGAGAAAGACCAAGUUGAAAGAUAUUGUAAGCACUGAUGCGGACUAGGUCCGUAGUCCGAGGAGUGUCCUCGCUGCUACAUAGAAGGCUUACAUCUUUGAUGCACCGCUCGAUGUGCAAACCCCUACAACGUCGUCUGUGGAUGUUGUGAACACCUGACAGACACAUCCUGAUGACUACUUGAUAGUUUAGUGCACCAUACUUUAUGGCUUAGAAUCGGGAUUUGAAUGACAUUUUGAACGCCAUAGAACAUAUGAGAUGUUCCAAGAGCUGAAAUUGGGAUUUCAGGCUCAUGCCCGUGUUGAGAGGUGUGAGACCUCUAACAAGUUCUUUUGCCAACAAGAUGGAGGAGAAUAGCUCAGCUAGUGAGCAUGUGCUCAGAAUGUUUGGGUGCUACAAUCACUUAAAUCAAGUGGUGGUUAAACUUCCAGAUAAGAUAGUGAUUGAUAGAGUUCUCUAGCCACUAUCACUAGGCUACUAGAUCUUCGUGAUGAACUAUGACAUGCAAGGGAUGGAAUUGAUCCCGGAGCUGUUCGCGGUGCUUAAGACCGCAAAAGGUAGAAAUCAAGAAGGAGCAUCAACUGUUGAUGGUUUAACAAGACCACUGGUUUCAAGAAGGGCAAAGGAUAGAAGGGAAACUUCAUGGAUGGCAAACCAGUUGCCGCUCCAGUAAAGGAACCCAAGGUUGAACCCAAACCCGAGACUAAGUGCUUCUAUUGUAAGGGGAACGGUCACUGGUAGCAGAAUUACCCCAAAUGCAUGGUAGAUAAGAAGGCUGGCAACUUCAACAAAGUAUAUGCGUGUUAUUAAUGUGUACCUCGCUAGUACUCCUGGUAGCACCUGGGUAUUGGAUAUCGGUUCAGUUACUAUUAAUGGUGACUUGAAGCAAAAGCUACGGACUAAACAGAGACUGGCUAAGGGCGAGGUGACGAUGUGUGUUGGAAGUGUUUCCAAAGUUGAUGAGAUCACCAUCGCACGCUCCAUCUGCCUUCGGGAUUAGUAUUGAACCUAGAUAAAUGUUAUCAGGUGUCUACGUUGAGCAUGAAUAUGAUUAGAUCAUGUUCAUUGCAAUACGGUCAUUCAUUUAAGUUAGAGAAUAAUGGUUAUUCUGUUUACAUGAAUGAUACCUUUCAUGGUCAUGCACCCUAUGUGAAUGGUUCAUUGAAUCUUGAUCGUGGUAAUACAAAUGUUCACGCCAAAAGAUGUAGAGUUAAUAAUGAUAGUACCACUUUCUCGUGGCACUGCCGCUUAGGUCAUAUUGGCGUAAGAUGCAUGAAGAAACUCCAUGUCGAUGGAUGUUUGGAGUCACUUGUUUUUGAAUCGCUUGACACAUGCGAGCCAUGCCUCAUGGGCAGGAUGACUAAGACCCCGCUUUCAGGUACAAUGAAACGGGCAAGUGACUUGUUGGAAAUCAUACAUGCUGAUGCGUGUGAUCCAAUGAGAAUUGAAGCGUGCAGUGGAUAUCGCUAUUUUCUCAUCUUCACUGACGAUUUGAGUAGAUAUAGGUAUAUCUACUUAAUGAAGCACAAGUCUGAAACGUUUGAAAAGUUCAAGCGAUUUCAGAGUGAAGUUAAGAAUCAUCAUAACAAUAAGAUCAUGUUCCUACGAUCUGAUCAAAAGGGGAUUUUCUGAGUUAUGAGUUUGGCAAUCACUUAAGACAUUGUGGAAUUGUUCCACAGUUGAAGCCACCUGGAACACAACAAGGUAAUGGUGUAUCCGGACGUCGUAAUAGAACACUAUGAGAUAUGGUGCGAUCUAUGAUGUCUCUUACCAAUCUACCAUUUUCAUUUUGAGGUUAUGCGUUAGAGACAUCUGCAUUCACUUUAGAUAGGACACCAUCUAAGUCCGUUGAGACGAUGUUGUAUGAACAUUGGUUUGGCAAGAAACCAAAGUUGUCGUUUCUUAAUGUUUGGGGCUGCGAUGCUUAAGGCUUCAGCCGGAGAAGCUCGAACCCAAACCGGACAAACACAUCUUCAUAGGAUACCCAAAGGUGAUAGUUGGGUAUACCUUCUAUCUCGGAUCCGAGGGCAAAUUUUUUGUCGCUAAGAACGGGUCCUUUCUCGAGAAGGAGUUUCUCUCGAAAUAAUUGAGUGGGAGGAAGAUAGAACUUGAUGAGGUUGUCGAACCUUUAUUUCAACCAGAGAGUGAUGCAACACAGAAAGAUGUUUUCUGUGGAGCCUACGUCUGUCGAAUAGGAAGUUAAUGAUAGUGAUCAUGAAGCUUCGGAUCAAGUUGCUAUCGAAUCUCGUAGGUCGACAAGGAUAUGUACUACUCCUAAGUGGUACGGUGAUCCUGUCUUAGAUAUCAUGUUGUUAGACAACAAUGAACCUACGAGCUAUGGAGAAGCAAUGGUGGGCCCGUAUUCCAACAAAUGGUUAGAAGCCAUGAAAUCCGAGAUAGGAUCCAUGUAUGGACUUUGGUGGACUUGCCCGUUGAUCGGCAAGCCAUCGAGAUAAAUGGAUCUUUGAGAAGAAGACAGACGUGGGCGGUAAUGUUACCUUCUAUGAAGCUCGACUUGUGGGAAAGAGUCUUUUCACAAGUUCAAGGAGUUGACUACGAUGAGAAUUUCUCACCCGUAGCGAUGCUUAAGUCCGUCGGAAUCAUGUUAGCAUUAGCUGUGUUUUUCGAUUAUGAAAUCUGACAGAUGGAUGUCAAAACAAGUUUUCUUACCAGUUUUCAUAAGAAAAAGUUGUAUGUGAUAUAAUAAAAGGUUUUGUCGAUCCUAAGGAUGCUAAAAAGUAUGCUGGCUCCAGCGAUCCUUCUAUGGACUAGAGCAAGCAUCUCGGAAUCGGAAUAUAUGCUUUGAUGGAGUAAUCAAAGCUUUUAGGUUUAUACAAUGUUUGCUAGAAACUUGUAUUUACAAGAAAGUGAGUGGGAGCACUACAAUAUUCUGAUAAGUAUAUGUGGAUGACAUAUUGUUGAUCUGAAAUAAUGUAGAAUUUCAGGAAAGCAUAAACGGUUGUUUGAAGAGUGAUUUUCAAAGGAAGGCCUGGAUAAAGCUGCUUACAUAUUGGGCAUCAAGAUCUAUAGAAAUAGAUCAAGACGCCUGAUGAUACUUUCAAAGAACGCACACCUUGACAUGUUUUUGAAAGAGUUCAAAAUAGAUCAGUCAAAGAAGGGGUUCUCACCUGAGUUGUAAGGUGUGAAGUUGAGUAAGACUCAAAGAUUGACCACGGCAGAAGAAAGAGGAAGGACGAAGGUCGUCCCCUAUGCUCUUGUCAUAGGCUCUAUACGGUAUGCCAUGCUGAGUACCGCACCUGAUGUGUGCCUUGCCAUAUGUCUGGCAAGAGGGUACAAAGGUGAUCUAGGAGUAGAUCACCAGAUAGCGGUCAAAAUUAUCCUUAGAGGAAUAAGGAAAUGUUUCUCGGUUAUGGAGGUGAUAAAGAGUUCAACAUAAAGAGUUACGUUGAUGCAAGCUUAACACCUAUCCGGAUAGCUCUGAGUAGACAUACUGGAUACGUAUAAUGGAGCAACAAUUUGGAAUAGCUCCAAGUGGAACGUGGUAGCAGCAUCUACGAUAUAAAGUUUUGCGAAAUACAUAGGGAUCUGAAUAUGGCAAGACCCGUUGACUACAACCUCUCUCACAAGCAUAACAUGAUCAAACCCAGAACUCUUUGAGUGUUUAUCACAUAGUGAUGUGAACUAGAUCAUUGAGUCUAGUAAACUCUUGGAUGUUGGUCACAUGGCGAUGUGACCUGUGAGUGUUAAUCACAUGGUGAUGUGAACUAGAUUAUUGACUCUAGUGCAAGUGGGAGACCGUUGGAAAUAUGCCCUAGAGGCAAUAAUAAAUUGGUUAUUAUUAUAUUUCCUUAUUCAUGAUAAUCGUUUAUUAUCCAUGCUAGAAUUGUAUUGAUAGGAAACUCAGAUACAUGUGUGGAUACAUAGACAACACCAUGUCCCUAGUAAGCCUCUAGUUGACUAGCUCGUUGAUCAAUAGAUGGUUACGGUUUCCUGGCCAUGGACAUUGGAUGUCGUUGAUAACGGGAUCACAUCAUUAGGAGAAUGAUGUGAUGGACGAGACCCAAUCCUAAGCCUAGCACAAAGAUCGUGUAGUUCAUAUGCUAAAGCUUUUCUAAUGUCAAGUAUCAUUUCCUUAGACCAUGAGAUUGUGCAACUCCCGGAUACCGUAGGAGUGCUUUGGGUGUGCCAAACGUCACAACGUAACUGGGUGGCUAUAAAGGUACACUACAGGUAUCUCCGAAAGUGUCUGUUGGGUUGGCACGAAUCGAGACUGGGAUUUGUCACUCCAUGUAAACGAAGAGGUAUCUCUGGGCCCACUCGGUAGGACAUCAUCAUAAUGUGCACAAUGUGAUCAAGGAGUUGAUCACGGGAUGAUGUGUUACGGAACAAGUAAAGAGACUUGCCGGUAACGAGAUUGAACAAGGUAUCAGGAUACCGACGAUCGAAUCUCGGGCAAGUAUCGUACCGAUGGACAAAGGGAAUUGUAUACGGGAUUGAUUAAAUCCUUGACAUCGUGGUUCAUCCGAUGAGAUCAUCAUGGAACAUGUGGGAGCCAACAUGCAUAUCCAGAUCCCGCUGUUGGUUAUUGGCCGGAGAGUUGUCUCGGUCAUGUCUGCAUGGUUCCCGAACCCGUAGGGUCUACACACUUAAGGUUAGAUAACGCUAGGGUUAUAGGGAAUAGAUAUACGUGGUUACCGAAUGUUGUUCGGAGUCCCGAAUAAGAUCCCGGACGUCAUGAGGAGUUCCGGAAUGGUCCGGAGGUAAAGAUUUAUAUAUGGGAAGUCCUGUUUUGGUCGCCGGAAAAGUUUCGGGUUUUAUCGGUAAUGUACCGGGACCACCGGGAGGGUCCCGGUGGUCCACCAAGUGGGGCCACCAGCCCCGAAGGGCUACAUGGGCCAAGUGUGGGAGGGGACCAGCCCCAGGUGGGCUGGUGCACCCCCCACAAGGGCCCAAGGCGCCUAGGGUUUGGGGAGGGGGCGCCUCCACCUAGCUUGGGGGGCAAGUUUCCCCUCCCCCCCCCUUGGCCGCCACCCUAGAUGGGUUUGGGGCUGCCGCACCCCUUGGGGUGGAAACCCUAAAGGGGGCGCACCCCCCUCCCUCUCCCCUAUAUAUACUUGAGGACUUUGGGGUUGCCAACACAUGAGUUUUGACCUCUCCAUGGCACAGCCCUGCCUCUCUCCCUACUCCUCUCCCGCGGUGCUUGGCGAAGCCCUGCAGGAUUGCCACGCUCCUCCACCACCACCACGCCGUCGUGCUGCUGCCGGAUGGAGUCUUCCCCAACCUCUCCUUCUCCCCUUGGUGGAUCAAGGCGUAGGAGACGUCACCGGGCUGCACGCGUGUUGAACGCAGAGGUGCUGUCCGUUCGGCACUAGGAUCUCCGGUGAUUUGAAUCACGACGAGUACGACUCCAUCAACCCCGUUCACUUGAAUGCUUCCGCUUAGCGAUCUACAAGGGUAUGUAGAUGCACUCUCCUUCCCCUCAUUGCUAGAUUACUCCAUAGAUUGAUCUUGGUGAUGCAUAGAAAAUUUUGAAUUUCUGCUACGUUCCCCAACAGGCUCCCCCCUUUCCUUUCUCUCCUCUCUCCCUUCCUUCCCCCUCUCCUAGUUGGACAAGGAAAGGAGGGAGUCCUACUCCCGGUAGGAGUAGGACUCCUCCCUGGCGCGCCUCCUCCUGGCCGGCCGCCCCUCCCCCUUGCUCCUUUAUAUACGGGGGCAGGGGCACCUCUAGACACAACAAUUGAUCCUUGAGAUCUAUUAGCCGUGUGCGGUGCCCUCCUCCACCAUAAUCCUCGAUAAUAUUGUAGCGGUGCUUAGGCAAAGCCAUGCGACGGUAGAACAUCAAGAUCGUCACCAGCCGUCGUGCUGAAGGAAAUCUUCCCCGACAUUCUGCUGGAUCGGAGUCCGGGGAUCGUCAUCGAGCUGGACGUGUGCUAGAACUCGGAGGUGCCGUAGUUUCGGUGCUUGAUCGGUCGGGCCGUGAAGACGUAUGACUACAUCAACCGCAUUGUGCUAACGCUUCCGCUUCCGGUCUACGAGGGUACGUAGACAACACUCUCCCCUCUCGUUGCUAUGCAUCACCAUGAUCUUGUGUGUGCGUAGAAAAUAUUUUGAAAUUACUAUGUUCCCCAACAGUGGUAUCCGAGCCUAGGUUUUAUGCGUUGAUGUUGUGCACGAGUAGAACACAAGUGAGUUGUGGGCGAUAUAAGUCAUACUGCUUACCAGCAUGUCAUACUUUGGUUCGGCGGUAUUGUUGGAUCAACCAGAGUAAGAUCCGCACCAGAGUGGUACGGUAAUCCUGUUCUGGAAGUCAUGCUACUAGAUCAUGAUGAACCUACAAACUAUGAAGAAGCGAUGGUGAGCCCAGAUUCCGCAAAAUGGCUUGAAGCCAUGAAAUCUGAGAUGGGAUCCAUGUAUGAGAACAAAGUGUAGACUUUGGUUGACUUGCCUGUCAGGACCCCGACUCGAUGCCACAUCGAUCUAGCAUGUAACACCUUAUAUCACUUUGUGGCCUCACGCACGGUAUCCCCACGGGUGUCGUCUUACCUUUGCCCGGGACCGUUUGCGCAUUUUGGCACACGUAUAUGAUGGUGUCGCUAGCAUCCAUAUGAUAAAGAGCCCGGGCUGACAUGACUAGUCGUAAACCCAAAGUGGCACAGACUUACAGGGACAGGCAUCCAUGACCCAGCUUCGAACGUGUCGGUCAUCAACAAGUGGGUUCGGGCUGUAGCACUGGGCUAGCAGGACUCCGGUAAACCGGGCUGUAGCGGGCUAACAGGACUCCGGUACUCAAAGCGUGACAUUUCCCCGAAGGGACAGACACAGGAACGAAGAAGGACACAUGCCGGCCAGCCUAAGUGUUCCAGAGCAGUAGCAAGCUACCAUGGCUCAGCGGUAACACUAGGAGACAUUUCCCGGUAAGAGAGGCUACUAAAGAUAAACAACUAGAUAGUCAGAUCCCACACAUAGCAAUACACAUUACACGUACGCAUAACAUGCAAGUAUGUGCUGUACAACAUGGCAUCACAGCAUAACUCAACAACUCAUAUAGAUAAAGGCUCAGAAGAGCCAUCACAGCAUUUAUUGCAAACAGGGGUCACAAGACCCAUCAUACAGAGCAUACAAGAAACAAGCGGAAGCAUUACAUGUCUGGGUACAGACAUCUAUAAAUGAAAAAGGCUGAAGAGCCUGACUAUCCACAACAUCCGAUCAAGAUCGUAGCUGAGGUACUAGCUACUAGUCGAAGUCCACGAGAACACUAGUAAGACCGAAGUCUCCGCUGCAAAAACAUAAAUAAAGCAACAUGAGUACAAAGGUACUCAGCAAGACUUACAUCAGAUCCUAUCAUACAUGCAUUUGUAUCAAGAGGGUAAUGUGGGGUUUAGUUGCAGCAAGCCAACUUUGACUCUGUGGCUAUCCUGUUCUACGACUACCAGAAACUCUGGAGGUGAAAUAACGUACACGAGUCCACUAAUCACCACACAAUACACUACUAUGGAUUCAUCCCCGUCUCCCUACGAGAAGGCCAUCCAUAGCACUCACACUUGUCUUGAGCAUUUUAUAGUAUCCACUUCAAGUUGUCUAUGUACCAUGUAAGCAUCCAAGAAGUCCAUAACCGCGGACCCGGCUAUUCGAAUAGAUCAUGUUAACCCUGCAGGGGUGUACCUCUUCACACACGCUCUCGCCACUUACCGCCAUGUACACGUCAUGUAUCUCGGCAACCUUCAAGCGGAAGCCUGGCGAGGGUGUCGGCCACGACCUGACUAACCACACAAGACUCUAAUCCAGGUUUAUCGCCUAUUCGGGUUCCAUCCGCAAGGAGAUCCGGCCGGGGUUUCACUCACGGCCCCAAACGAUGUGUGCAGGGUUCCCAAGCCCACCUCGCCGGAUGGAUCUACGCUUGGUACACCGUGCCACUGGUGCCUAGUCUGUCCCAAGCCCACCUGGCCGGGUGCCACUUGGUAGACUACUAACACUACCUACAAACGCCAGAAACUAGUUGCGACUCCUGGACAGAGAUCAAGUUGAUUAAUAAGUCGAGAGGGCUUGGAGCGCCCGGAGCCCAAUGUGUGGUAGUAUCGAGUCAUUGGACAACAUACAUAGAACUCAGUGCUUAAGGACGGUUCCAGUGAGACAACCCACCAUGUACUCCUACAUGGCCUCUCACCGCUACCUUUACCAAAUCGUGUUCACACACUUCACUCUCAGCAUAGAACAUAUCGUGACACUCCAAUUCAUUCCCAAUGAACCAGACCUGACACACUCUAAGCAAUAGCAGGCAUAGCAUGGUAGGAACACAUCAGUGGCUUCAAUCAACUCCUACACAUGCUAGUGGGUUUCAACUAUUUACUGUGGCAAUGACAGGUCAUGCAGAGGAAUGGGUUCAGCUACCGCAGCACAAAGUAGCAGAUGAAUCGUUGUUGUCCUAAUGCAAUAACUGAGAGCAGGAGCGAGAGAGUAGGGUUUUAUCGAAAUGAACAAGGGGGUUUGCUUGCCUGGUAAAACAACAGGGGAGGCACUGCUUCACAGACAGGUACUCUGGAACGUCUCCGGAGCAGGAUCUAUCGAGAAGGAACAGUGCCGGCAAUCAAUACACAAUCAUAUGCAACAAUAUGAUGCAUGAACAUGGCAUGUAGAUGUGAUGCUGUUGAGCUAAUGCAACUAGUGUUCAAUUGGUUUGAAGUCCAUUUGAACCAAAGGUUCAAAUGCAUUUCUAAAUUAGGUCUCUUAUAUAAGCCAUAAUGUGUUUCCCAUAUUCAGCAUGUAUAAGUUGGUUUUUCAUGCAUGAAACUAGUACAGAUGGAAAGGUUGCAUUUUUCUGAUAAUUUUUCAUAUAUAAAUUAUUUAAAUCUGAGCUACGGUUGAAUUGUUAUGAAUUUUUGAAGUUUAAAUCAAUUUCUGGAUUUUCUGAAUUAUUUUAAUUCCAGAAAAUGUAUAAUUGCGUCAGCAUGACGUCAUCAUUGCAUCAGCGGUCAACGCGGCUGUCCAGGUCAAAUCUGACGUGUGGGACCCACACGUCAGUGACAGGGGGUUAACCCCGAGUCAAACCUGGGCUGGUCAGCUUUGACUAAGCCCUGGGGCCCACUUGUCAGCGUCAGCGGGUGGGGAAUUAGUGACUAAUUAACAAGCCACGUCAGCCCGCCGGAGUUCUGGCCGGCGGCGACCAUUAGCGCGGCGGCGACUCGCCGGACUUGCGUUACAGACAGCGUUUGAUCGCGCGAAGACCACCGGGGCGUAGCCCGUCUUCGUCCGCAACCAGGGGAGCUGAUGGGGGGCUGCGGGGGCGCCGGAGCUCGCCGGAGCGGAGCUCGGGGCGGCGGCCGGAGUUCGGGAUAGCGCGGGCGUGGGGCUGCAGCUCGCGUUCGAGCGAACGGAGGGCACAGGCGGUAGCUACGAGGCAGUAGGAGCACAUCGAGCUAUCUACGCGAGACGGAGGUGCUCGGGGGGCACGGAGCUCGCCGGCCAUGGCGGACGGCGGCUUCGGGCGCUCGUGGGGCAGCGGCUACAGGGCACGCGCGAGAGAGAGAGGUGAGGGGAAAGGAAGAGAGGCUCACGGCGGACUCGCAGAGCAGGCCGGUGUGCUCGGGGACGUCCUGCGUCCGGCGAAUUGACGGUGAUGGCGGCGAGGUCGAUCUCCGUCGUCGGUGGUGAAGAAGACAAUGGCGUCGGCGAUGGAGCGCGUCCGGAGGUGCGUGGCUUGACGAGGAGGUAGAGGGGGUCGAGGCGGAGCUGGGAAGCGUCUCAGGGAGGCGAGGGGAGGCCGGUGGCCGUGGUGGUUCUCGUCGGCGACGGCGGUGGUUCUCGGGUGAGAGGGAGAGAGAGCAGGGGGAGAGGAGGAGGGCGAGGGAGAGUGAGAGCGGUGCGGGGCAGCGCGUGGCGACGUCCGGGGCAUCGAGGGCGAGAGAAGGAAGCAGGAGGUGGCCAGCAGGGGGGAGGUGGCGCGCGCGCGUGCCGGCGAGCGUCGGGCACACGCCCGUCCUCCUGGCAGAGGAGGAAGGCGACAGGGGAGGGGGGCCAGGCGGGCUGGGCCGCCUCCUGGCUGGGCCGGCCUGCUGCUGCUGGGCUGCGCAGGGGAGGGGAGGCCCAGGUAAGCCCCUCCUUCUUUUAUUUUUGUUUUCUAAUUUUUCUGACAUUUGUUUUGAUUUAAUAAAUAUAUUAAAUCAUUUAAUUUGAUUAUGCCAAUUUUUGCAGGAGCUGGAUAUUAUUAUUCCAGAGCUCUUUUAUAAAUGGCAUAAUUUUUGGGCCAUAUUUCAUAUAUAUAGAAAUAUAUUUCCAAUGCAAAUAUUUAUCGAAUUAAUCCAAUUGGCCAAAAUAAAUAACCAUGAGCUCCUAAAAAUAUUGUUUUGAUUUUUUUAUCUCUGUCCAAUAUUUUUAGAGGGCAUCAUGAGCAUUUCCUUGGACCCUUUUGGAGAAAUUUUUAUUUGGGUCAUUUUCAAAAUUGAUUUUGAGGGUUCCACCAAUCCUCAUUUCAAAUUUAAAUGAAAUUUAAACAUGAUGCACAAAUGACUAGCUAGUCUAGGUCAUACCAGACUAGGGAUGUGACAACUCGCCCCCACUUGACAGAAUCUCGUCUCGAGAUUCAGGGGUCGACGGAAAGAAAGCGGGGUACUCCAGUCGAAGACGAUCUUCUCGCUCCCAAGUAGCUUCUCUCUCGGAAUGAUGAGACCACUGAACUUUGAGAAACUUGAUGUUCUGACGUCGAGUAACACGCUCUACUUGAUCAAGAAUGCGAACCGGGUACUCUCGGUAUGUGAGGUUAUCUUGGAGAUCAAGCGUUUCGUGGUCCACUCCACGGAUAGGAUUCGAGAAGCAACGCCUGAGUUGAGAGACGUGGAAGACAUCAUGAACUCGAGAAAGAUGUGGGGGUAGUUCCAACUGGUAGGCAACCUCUCCUCGUUUAGCGAGAAUGCGAAAAGGACCAAUGUAACGAGGAGCCAACUUGCCCUUGAUACCGAAACGAUGGGUACCCUUCAAAGGAGUAACCCGAAGGUAAGCUUGGUCGCCAAUUUCAUAAGUCAUAUCCUUAUGAUGACGAUCGUACUGACCUUUCUGACGAGACUGGGCUGUUUUCAAAUUCUCACGAAUGAUGCGAACUUGCUCUUCUGCCUCCUGAAUCAUGUCCGGUCCAAAGAAUUGUCUUUCACCGGUUUCUGACCAGUUCAAAGGUGUUCGACAUCUUCGUCCAUAGAGAACCUCAAAAGGAGCUUGCUUGAGGCUGGAUUGGUAGCUAUUGUUAUAAGCAAACUCGGCAAAAGGAAGACAUUUCUCCCAAUCCAUACCGAAUGAGAUAACGCAAGCUCUAAGCAUCUCUUCGAGAAUUUGAUUGACCCGUUCCACCUGACCACUCGACUGAGGGUGGAAAGCGGUACUGAAGGAAAGAUGGGUUCCCAUGGCAGUUUGGAAGCUCUCCCAAAAAUGAGAAGUGAAAAGACUGCCACGGUCUGAAUUGAUCUCUAGUGGAACACCAUGAAGUGACACUAUUCGAGAAAUAUAUAAGUCAGCAAGCUGACUAGCAGUGAUAUUUUCUCGAACAGGGAGGAAGUGAGCCACUUUGGAAAGACGAUCAACGACUACGAAGAUAGCGUUGUUCCCUUUCUUGGUCCUGGGAAAGCCGGUAAUGAAGUCCAUACCAACUUUAUCCCAUUUCCAUUCAGGAAUAGCUAAAGGCUGAAGGGUGCCAGCAGGUCUUUGAUGCUCUGCUUUAACGCGACGACAUACGUCACAUUUAGCAAUGAACUCAGCGAUUUCUCUCUUCAUCCUAGUCCACCAGAACCUCUGGCGUAGGUCCUGAUACAUCUUAGUGCUACCGGGAUGAAUCGUGAGAGGGGAUUCAUGCGCCUCCUUAAGAAUCAAUUGUCGCAGAUGUUGAUUCUUGGGAACCACCAAGCGAUUCUCAAAGAAAACAACACCACGAUCAUCCAUAGAGAAACAUCGACCAACUCCCUUCUUAAUGUUUCUCUUGAUCCGGGAAAUUCCUGUGUCUUGCUUUUGAGCAGUGAUAAUCCGAUCUUCAAGAUCAGGUUUCGCCACCAGGGUAGAAAGGAAUCCGUGAGGAGCUAUGUGAAGGUUAAGCUUACAGAAUUCCUCAUGGAGAAGUGGUUGGCCUUGCUGCAACAUGAGAUUGUUGCAAUAGGAUUUACGGCUUAGAGCAUCAGCCAUGACAUUGGCUUUGCCUGGGGUGUAGGUAAUCCCUAGAUCAUAAUCUGUGAUCAACUCCAACCAACGUCUUUGCCUAAGGUUCAGAUCUGGUUGGGUGAAGAUAUACUUGAGACUCUGGUGAUCGGUGUAGAUCUCGCAACGUUUACCAAGGAGGUAAUGUCGCCAGGUCUUGAGUGCAUAGACUACGGCUGCAAGCUCUAGAUCAUGUGUAGGAUAAUUCUCCUCAUGUGGAUGCAACUGUCGAGAUGCAUAGGCAAUCACAUGACGAUCCUGCAUAAGAAUGCAACCUAGUCCCUGUCGUGAGGCGUCGCAGUAGAUAAUAAAGUCUUUAGUGAAAUCCGGUGGCACAAGUAUGGGAGCAGAAGUCAGGCGUCUUUUCAGUUCCUGAAAACUAUACUCACACUAUGGGGACCACUCGAACUUUUUAUCUUUCUUGAGAAGUUCCGUGAGGGGUUUGGCUACUUUGGAGAAGUUUUCAACAAAGCGGCGACAAUAGCUGGUUAGACCAAGGAAACUCCUAACUUGUUUGACUGUUUCAGGUGGAGUCCAAUCGAGAACGGCUUGAACUCUCUCAGGAUUGACAGCGAUGCCCUUACCAGAGAUUACGUGGCCUAGGUAGGUCACUUCUGGCAACCAAAAUUCACACUUGGAGAACUUGGCAUAAAGGCGGUGCUCUCUGAGUUUUUCUAACACAAGUCUAAGAUGUUCAGCAUGCUCUUCCUCGUUCUUCGAGUAGAUAAGAAUAUCGUCGAGGUAAACCACGACGAACUUAUCUAAGUACUCCAUGAAGAUCGAGUUCAUCAAACGGGAGAAUGUGGCUGGGGCGUUGGUUAGGCCAAAGGACAUGACGGUGUACUCGUACUGACCAUAACGAGUGACAAAAGCUGUCUUGGGAAUGUCCCCAUUCCUGAUCUUGAUUUGAUGGUAGCCUAACCUUAAAUCCAUCUUGGAAAAGACUGAGGAUCCAGCGAGCUGAUCAUACAGGUCGUUGAUCCUGGGAAGCGGAUACUUGUUCUUUAUCGUGACCAAAUUAACGGGACGAUAAUCUACAACCAUCCGGUCCGUACCGUCUUUCUUCUUGACGAAGAGGACGGGGCAAGCCCAAGGAGAAGAACUAGGACGGAUGAAACCCUUUUGCAAGGACUCAUCGAGUUGUUUCUUAAGCUCAGCUAGUUCUAAGGGUGCCAUCUUGUAAGGUCUCCGGGAGAUUGGAGCUGUUCCUGGGAUAAGAUCUAUGACGAACUCUACAUCUCUGUCAGGCGGAACACCUGGCAGUUCCUCUGGAAAGACAUCCGGAAAGUCACGGACUACCGAGAUAUCUUCAAGGUCUGGAAGAGGGCUGGCAUUAAGGGAAUAGAGCUGACGCUUUGCAACUCUAGUGGAGACGGUGACUAUCUUGCCAGAUGGGUGUGUGAGCUGAACAGACCUGGUGAAACAAUCAAUCUUGGCAUGAUGAGCUGUCAUCCAGUCCAUACCCAAGAUGAUGUUAAUAUCCGAAGACUUGAGAGAUAUCAAGGAGGCAAGGAAUGCAAGUCUGUCCACAAGGAUUUCAUUGCCAUAACUUAUCCUAGAAGUUUGCCAUUUGGAUCCAGGAGUUUGAAUAAGUAGUGGAGAGGGCAUAUCACAAAAUGACAUGUCGUGCAAACGGGCAUAGCUUUCAGAAAUGAAGGAAUGAGACGCUCCAGUAUCGAAUAGAACUGAUGCUGGGUGACAAUUAACGAGGAGUGUGCUAAGAACGACAUCUGGAUCACCAUGAGCGGCUUUAGCUGAGACAUGAUGCACACGUCCAUGUUCAGUGGGAGCUGACUUGGCACUGACCAUCUUGCGUGAUGGCUUACCAUGGACGAUAGACUUCUCGGGCUGGGGUGGAGCAACUCUGGUCUGAGUGCAAAUACGGGCAAUGUGGCCUGGCUCUCCGCACUUGUAACAAAUCUUGGAGGUAGGAUGUGGACCUGCAUUGGAAAGCGGUCCACCAAUAGGCCUGGGUGGAGCAUACUGCUGAGCUUGAUGAGGUGCCACAUAAGAUGGCCUCGGUACAUAUUUGGGCGGAAGAGCAGAGUUUGGAACCCAAAUCCGGCGCUUCUGAGAGCUAGAACCGGAGGAAGAUCCCAAAGCACGAGUGUGCUUACGAGACUCCUCGUAAGUGAGUUGAGCUGUCUCUGCAUUAAUGGCCUUGUUCACAAGGGCUUGGAAUGUACCACAAUGAUGCAGAUGGAGAUCACGACGCAACUUGGGGUUGAGACCCUUCCGGAACCUAGCCUGCUUCUUGGCGUCCGUGGACACCUCUUCUGUGGCAUAGCGGGCGAGGUUCUCAAACUCUCUACUAUAGGCAUCAACAGCCAUUUUAUCCUGGGUGAAACUACAGAACUCUUCUCUCUUGCGAUCAAGGAGGGCCUGGGGAAUGUGAUGCUCACGAAAAGACUCAGUGAAAUCCUUCCAGGUAGGAAUCUGGCCGGCUGGAAGCAAAGUCUCAUAGUUCUGCCACCAAAGACUAGCAGGACCUUCCAGGUGGUAUGUGGCAUAAGUGACCUUGUCAUCUUCAGCUACGUUCGCGGAACACAGCUUAUGGGUGAUGCUACGGAGCCAGUCAUCUGCAUCGAGUGGCUCGAUGGAAUGAUGAAAGAUAGGUGGAUGCAAGCGGAUAAAGUCAUGAAUGGUCACAGGCUUAUUGGACUGAUGUGCGGUGUUCUCCUCGAUACGUGCCAACAAGCGGUUGGACUCACGCUUGUUCCUCUCCAUCUCUAGCAUGAACUCUGUCAACGAAGGCUGAUCAGGAGGAUCCUCAUCCCUACCAUCUCCAUGGUUCUGGCUACGAGCAACGGAACUUCGCUUAGCUGAUGACAUCCUGAGAAACGAAACCAAGGACGAAAUCAACAUUAACUAUGGCCUGUAGAAUGUAGGACAAGGAAUUAGUAUCUCUCGAACUCCUAGGGAAAUUUCGGCAGCAUAACGGCAGUAAAAUGCUCAGAAUGAGACAUCCUACUAAAAAUGGGGUGGUAACAUACUCAAGGUUCUGAGAUCAUACUAAACAGACUACACCGGAAAUACUCAAGCUGGGGUAUGACUCUAAUCAACCAGUCUUAUGGAACUACGGAGUAGUAACACGUGAUCCUGAUAGACGGAAGAGAAGCCUAGUUCCUUAACCCUGUCGGAAAGAUAGGAUGACUCAGAUCAGAAGGCCAUGAGGUAAAGGAGUAAAAAGAGCCUUACGUUCCAUCCCACAAUCAAUUCCCUUAUAUAACUAAAGAAUUUCUAGACUCAACUUCGACCAGGUUGGCUUGGUAAACCUACAGGCAGUCAAGCUCUGAUACCAACGCUGUCAGGACCCCGACUCGAUGCCACAUCGAUCUAGCAUGUAACACCUUAUAUCACUUUGUGGCCUCACGCACGGUAUCCCCACGGGUGUCGUCUUACCUUUGCCCGGGACCGUUUGCGCAUUUUGGCACACGUAUAUGAUGGUGUCGCUAGCAUCCAUAUGAUAAAGAGCCCGGGCUGACAUGACUAGUCGUAAACCCAAAGUGGCACAGACUUACAGGGACAGGCAUCCAUGACCCAGCUUCGAACGUGUCGGUCAUCAGCAAGUGGGUUCGGGCUGUAGCACUGGGCUAGCAGGACUCCGGUAAACCGGGCUGUAGCGGGCUAACAGGACUCCGGUACUCAAAGCGUGACAUUUCCCCGAAGGGACAGACACAGGAACGAAGAAGGACACAUGCCGGCCAGCCUAAGUGUUCCAGAGCAGUAGCAAGCUACCAUGGCUCAGCGGUAACACUAGGAGACAUUUCCCGGUAAGAGAGGCUACUAAAGAUAAACAACUAGAUAGUCAGAUCCCACACAUAGCAAUACACAUUACACGUACGCAUAACAUGCAAGUAUGUGCUGUACAACAUGGCAUCACAGCAUAACUCAACAACUCAUAUAGAUAAAGGCUCAGAAGAGCCAUCACAGCAUUUAUUGCAAACAGGGGUCACAAGACCCGUCAUACAGAGCAUACAAGCAACAAGCGGAAGCAUUACAUGUCUGGGUACAGACAUCUAUAAAUGAAAAAGGCUGAAGAGCCUGACUAUCCACAACAUCCGAUCAAGAUCGUAGCUGAGGUACUAGCUACUAGUCGAAGUCCACGAGAACACUAGUAAGACCGAAGUCUCCGCUGCAAAAACAUAAAUAAAGCAACAUGAGUACAAAGGUACUCAGCAAGACUUACAUCAGAUCCUAUCAUACAUGCAUUUGUAUCAAGAGGGUAAUGUGGGGUUUAGUUGCAGCAAGCCAGCUUUGACUCUGUGGCUAUCCUAUUCUACGACUACCAGAAACUCUGGAGGUGAAAUAACGUACACGAGUCCACUAAUCACCACACAAUACACUACUAUGGAUUCAUCCCCGUCUCCCUACGAGAAGGCCAUCCAUAGCACUCACACUUGUCUUGAGCAUUUUAUAGUAUCCACUUCAAGUUGUCUAUGUACCAUGUAAGCAUCCAAGAAGUCCAUAACCGCGGACCCGGCUAUUCGAAUAGAUCAUGUUAACCCUGCAGGGGUGUACCUCUUCACACACGCUCUCGCCACUUACCGCCAUGUACACGUCAUGUAUCUCGGCAACCUUCAAGCGGAAGCCUGGCGAGGGUGUCGGCCACGACCUGACUAACCACACAAGACUCUAAUCCAGGUUUAUCGCCUAUUCGGGUUCCAUCCGCAAGGAGAUCCGGCCGGGGUUUCACUCACGGCCCCAAACGAUGUGUGCAGGGUUCCCAAGCCCACCUUGCCGGAUGGAUCUACGCUUGGUACACCGUGCCACUGGUGCCUAGUCUGUCCCAAGCCCACCUGGCCGGGUGCCACUUGGUAGACUACUAACACUACCUACAAACGCCAGAAACUAGUUGCGACUCCUGGACAGAGAUCAAGUUGAUUAAUAAGUCGAGAGGGCUUGGAGCGCCCGGAGCCCAAUGUGUGGUAGUAUCGAGUCAUUGGACAACAUACAUAGAACUCAGUGCUUAAGGACGGUUCCAGUGAGACAACCCACCAUGUACUCCUACAUGGCCUCUCACCGCUACCUUUACCAAAUCGUGUUCACACACUUCACUCUCAGCAUAGAACAUAUCGUGACACUCCAAUUCAUUCCCAAUGAACCAGACCUGACACACUCUAAGCAAUAGCAGGCAUAGCAUGGUAGGAACACAUCAGUGGCUUCAAUCAACUCCUACACAUGCUAGUGGGUUUCAACUAUUUACUGUGGCAAUGACAGGUCAUGCAGAGGAAUGGGUUCAGCUACCGCAGCACAAAGUAGCAGAUGAAUCGUUGUUGUCCUAAUGCAAUAACUGAGAGCAGGAGCGAGAGAGUAGGGUUUUAUCGAAAUGAACAAGGGGGUUUGCUUGCCUGGUAAAACAACAGGGGAGGCACUGCUUCACAGACAGGUACUCUGGAACGUCUCCGGAGCAGGAUCUAUCGAGAAGGAACAGUGCCGGCAAUCAAUACACAAUCAUAUGCAACAAUAUGAUGCAUGAACAUGGCAUGUAGAUGUGAUGCUGUUGAGCUAAUGCAACUAGUGUUCAAUUGGUUUGAAGUCCAUUUGAACCAAAGGUUCAAAUGCAUUUCUAAAUUAGGUCUCUUAUAUAAGCCAUAAUGUGUUUCCCAUAUUCAGCAUGUAUAAGUUGGUUUUUCAUGCAUGAAACUAGUACAGAUGGAAAGGUUGCAUUUUUCUGAUAAUUUUUCAUAUAUAAAUUAUUUAAAUCUGAGCUACGGUUGAAUUGUUAUGAAUUUUUGAAGUUUAAAUCAAUUUCUGGAUUUUCUGAAUUAUUUUAAUUCCAGAAAAUGUAUAAUUGCGUCAGCAUGACGUCAUCAUUGCAUCAGCGGUCAACGCGGCUGUCCAGGUCAAAUCUGACGUGUGGGACCCACACGUCAGUGACAGGGGGUUAACCCCGAGUCAAACCUGGGCUGGUCAGCUUUGACUAAGCCCUGGGGCCCACUUGUCAGCGUCAGCGGGUGGGGAAUUAGUGACUAAUUAACAAGCCACGUCAGCCCGCCGGAGUUCUGGCCGGCGGCGACCAUUAGCGCGGCGGCGACUCGCCGGACUUGCGUUACAGACAGCGUUUGAUCGCGCGAAGACCACCGGGGCGUAGCCCGUCUUCGUCCGCAACCAGGGGAGCUGAUGGGGGGCUGCGGGGGCGCCGGAGCUCGCCGGAGCGGAGCUCGGGGCGGCGGCCGGAGUUCGGGAUAGCGCGGGCGUGGGGCUGCAGCUCGCGUUCGAGCGAACGGAGGGCACAGGCGGUAGCUACGAGGCAGUAGGAGCACAUCGAGCUAUCUACGCGAGGCGGAGGUGCUCGGGGGGCACGGAGCUCGCCGGCCAUGGCGGACGGCGGCUUCGGGUGCUCGUGGGGCAGCGGCUACAGGGCACGCGCGAGAGAGAGAGGUGAGGGGAAAGGAAGAGAGGCUCACGGCGGACUCGCAGAGCAGGCCGGUGUGCUUGGGGACGUCCUGCGUCCGGCGAAUUGACGGUGAUGGCGGCGAGGUCGAUCUCCGUCGUCGGUGGUGAAGAAGACAACGGCGUCGGUGAUGGAGCGCGUCCGGAGGUGCGUGGCUUGACGAGGAGGUAGAGGGGGUCGAGGCGGAGCUGGGAAGCGUCUCAGGGAGGCGAGGGGAGGCCGGUGGCCGUGGUGGUUCUCGUCGGCGACGGCGGUGGUUCUCGGGUGAGAGGGAGAGAGAGCAGGGGGAGAGGAGGAGGGCGAGGGAGAGUGAGAGCGGUGCGGGGCAGCGCGUGGCGACGUCCGGGGCAUCGAGGGCGAGAGAAGGAAGCAGGAGGUGGCCAGCAGGGGGGAGGUGGCGCGCGCACGUGCCGGCGAGCGUCGGGCACACGCCCGUCCUCCUGGCAGAGGAGGAAGGCGACAGGGGAGGGGGGCCAGGCGGGCCGGGCCGCCUCCUGGCUGGGCCGGCCUGCUGCUGCUGGGCUGCGCAGGGGAGGGGAGGCCCAGGUAAGCCCCUCCUUCUUUUAUUUUUGUUUUCUAAUUUUUCUGACAUUUGUUUUGAUUUAAUAAAUAUAUUAAAUCAUUUAAUUUGAUUAUGCCAAUUUUUGCAGGAGCUGGAUAUUAUUAUUCCAGAGCUCUUUUAUAAAUGGCAUAAUUUUUGGGCCAUAUUUCAUAUAUAUAGAAAUAUAUUUCCAAUGCAAAUAUUUAUCGAAUUAAUCCAAUUGGCCAAAAUAAAUAACCAUGAGCUCCUAAAAAUAUUGUUUUGAUUUUUUUAUCUCUGUCCAAUAUUUUUAGAGGGCAUCAUGAGCAUUUCCUUGGACCCUUUUGGAGAAAUUUUUAUUUGGGUCAUUUUCAAAAUUGAUUCUGAGGGUUCCACCAAUCCUCAUUUCAAAUUUAAAUGAAAUUUAAACAUGAUGCACAAAUGACUAGCUAGUCUAGGUCAUACCAGACUAGGGAUGUGACAUUGCCCAAUGAUCGGCAAGCAAUUGAGAAUAAAUGGAUCUUCAAGAAGAAGAGUGACGCCGACGGUAAUAUUACUGUCUACAAAGCUCGACUUGUCUCAAAAGGGUUUCGGCAAGUUUAAGGGGUUGACUACGAUGAGACCUUCUCACCCGUAGUAAUGCUUAAGUCUGUCCGAAUCAUGUUAGCAAUUGCCGCAUUUUAUGAUUAUGAAAUUUGGCAGAUGGAUGUCAAAACUGCAUUCCUGAAUGGAUUUCUAGAAGAAGAGUUGUAUAUGAUGCAACCGGAAGGUUUUGUCGAUCCAAAGGGAGCUAACAAAGUGUGCAAGCUCCAGCGAUCCAUUUAUGGACUGGUGCAAGCCUCUCGGAGUUGGAAUGAACGCUUUGAUAGUGUGAUCAAAGCAUUUGGUUUUAUACAGACUUUUGGAGAAGCCUGUAUUUACAAGAAAGUGAGUGGGAACUCUGUAGCAUUUCUGAUAUUAUAUGUGGAUGACAUAUUACUGAUCGGAAAUGAUAUAGAAUUUCUGGAUAGCAUAAAGGGAUACUUGAAUAAGAGUUUUUCAAUGAAAGACCUCGGUGAAGCUGCUUACAUAUUAGGCAUAAAGAUCUAUAGAGAUAGAUCAAGACGUUUAAUUGGACUUUCACAAAGCACAUACCUUGAGAAGAUUUUGAAGAAGUUCAAAAUGGAUCAAGCAAAGAAAGGGUUCUUGCCUGUGUUACAAGGUGUGAAGUUGAGUCAGACUCAAUGCCCGACCACUGCAGAAGAUAGAGAGAAAAUGAAAGAUGUUCCCUAUGCUUCAGCCAUAGGCUCUAUCAUGUAUGCAAUGCUGUGUACGAGACCUGAUGUGUGCCUUUCUAUAAGUCUAGCAGGGAGGUACCAAAGUAAUCCAGGAGUGGAUCACUGGACAGCGGUCAAGAACAUCCUGAAGUACCUGAAAAGGACUAAGGAUAUGUUUCUCGUAUAUGGAGGUGACAAAGAGCUCAUCGUAAACAGUUACAUUGAUGCAAGCUUUGACACUGAUCCGGACGAUUCUAAAUCGCAAACUGGAUACGUGUUAACAUUAAACAGUGGAGCUGACAGUUGGUGCAGUUCUAAACAAAGCGUCGUGGUGGGAUCUACGUGUGAAGCGGAAUACAUAGCUGCUUCAGAAGCAACAAAUGAAGGAGUCUGGAUGAAGGAGUUCAUAUCCGAUCUAGGUGUCAUACCUAGUGCGUCGGGUCCAAUGAAAAUCUUUUGUGACAAUACUGGUGCAAUUGCCUUGGCGAAGGAAUCCAGAUUUUACAAGAGAACCAAGCACAUCAAGAGACACUUCAAUUCCAUCCGGGAUCUAGUCCAGGUGGGAGGCAUAGAGAUUUGCAAGAUACAUACGGAUCUGAAUGUUGCAGACCCGUUGACUAAGCCUCUUCCACGAGCAAAACAUGAUCAGCACCAAGGCUCCAUGGGUGUUAGAAUCAUUACUGUGUAAUCUAGAUUAUUGACUCUAGUGCAAGUGGGAGACUAAAGGAAAUAUGCCCUAGAGGCAAUAAUAAAGUUAUUAUUUAUUUCCUUAUAUCAUGAUAAAAGUUUAUUAUUCAUGCUAGAAUUGUAUUAACCGGAAACAUAAUACAUGUGUGAAUACAUAGACAAACAGAGUGUCACUAGUAUGCCUCUACUUGACUAGCUCGUUAAUCAAAGAUGGUUAUGUUUCCUAACCAUGGACAAAGAGUUGUUAUUUGAUUAACGGGAUCACAUCAUUAGUUGAAUGAUCUGAUUGACAUGACCCAUUCCAUUAGCUUAGCACCCGAUCGUUUAGUAUGUUGCUAUUGCUUUCUUCAUGACUUAUACAUGUUCCUAUGACUAUGAGAUUAUGCAACUCCCGUUUGCCAGAGGAACACUUUGUGUGCUACCAAACAUCACAACGUAACUGGGUGAUUAUAAAGGAGCUCUACAGGUGUCUCCAAAGGUACAUGUUGGGUUGGCGUAUUUCGAGAUUAGGAUUUGUCACUCCGAUUGUCGGAGAGGUAUCUCUGGGCCCUCUCGGUAAUGCACAUCACUUAAGCCUUGCAAGCAUUGCAACUAAUGAGUUAGUUGCGGGAUGAUGUAUUACAGAACGAGUAAAGAGACUUGCCGAUAAAGAGAUUGAACUAGAUAUUGAGAUACCGACGAUCGAAUCUCGGGCAAGUAACAUACCGAUGACAAAGGGAACGACGUAUGUUGUUAUGCAGUCUGACCGAUAAAGAUCUUCGUAGAAUAUGUAGGAGCCAAUAUGAGCAUCCAGGUUCUGCUAUUGGUUAUUGACCGGAGACGUGUCUCGGUCAUGUCUACAUUGUUCUCGAACCCGUAGGGUCCGCACGCUUAAGGUUUCGAUGACAAUUAUAUUAUGAGUUUAUGAGUUUUGAUGUACCGAAGUUAGUUCAGAGUCCCGGAUGUGAUCACGGACAUGACGAGGAGUCUCGAAAUGGUCGAGACAUAAAGAUUGAUAUAUUGGACGGCUAUAUUCGGACACCGGAAGUGUUCCGGGUGAUUUCGGAGAAAACCGGAGAGCCGGAGGGUUACCGGAACCCCCCCGGGAGAAGUAAUGGGCCAUAUGGGCCUUAGUGGAGAGAGAGAGGGGCAGCCAAAGGUGGGCCGCGCGCCUCCUCCCCCCUGGUCCGAAUUGGACUAGGAGAGGGGGGGCGGCGCCCCCCUUUCCCUUUCUCUCCCCACUUCCUUCCCCCUCCUAGUAGGAGUCCUACUCCUACUAGGAGGAGGACUCCUCCUUGGCGCGCCUAUAGGGCCGGCCGGCCUCCUCCCCUUGCUCCUUUAUAUACGGGGGCAGAGGGCACCCCUAGACACACAAGUUGAUCCACGUGAUCAUAUUCUUAGCCGUGUGCGGUGCCCCCUUCCACCAUAGUCCUCGAUAAUAUUGUAGCGGUGCUUAGGCGAAGCCCUGCGACGGUAGUACAUCAAGAUCGUCACCAUGCCAUCGUGCUGACGGAACUCUUCCCCGACACUUUGCUGGAUCGGAGUCCGGGGAUCGUCAUCGAGCUGAACAUGUGCUAGAACUCGGAGGUGCCGUAGUUUCGGUGCUUGAUCGGUCGGGCCGUGGAGACGUACGACUACAUCAACCAAGUUAACGCUUCCGUUGUCGAUCUACAAGGGUACGUAGAUCACACUCUCCCCCUCUUGUUGCUACGCAUCACCAUGAUCUUGCGUGUGCGUAGGAAAUUUUUUGAAAUUACUACGUUCCCCUACAAUAUGGUCACAACAUGAUGCUAAAUUUUAUUGUAUGAGAUGAUCAUGUUUUGUAACCGAGUUAUCGGCAACUGGCAGGAGCCAUAUGGUUGUCGCUUUAUUGUAUGCAAUGCAAUUGCACUGUAAUGCUUUACUUUAUCACUAAACGGUAGCAAUAGUCGUGGAAGCAUAAGAUUGGCGAGACGACAACGAUACUAUGAUGGUGAUCAAGGUGUUGCGCUGGUGACGAUGGUGAUCAUGACGGUGCUUCGAAGAUGAAGAUCACAAGCACAAGAUGAUGAUGGCCAUAUCAUAUCACUUAUAUUGAUUGCAUGUGAUGUUUAUCUUUUAUGCAUCUUAUCUUGCUUUGAUUGACGGUAGCAUUAUAAGAUGAUUCCUCACUAAAUUUUCAAAGUAUAAGUGUUCUUCCUGAGUAUGCACCGUUGCGAAAGUUCUUCAUGCUGAGACACCACGUGAUGAUCGGGGGUGAUAGGCUCUACGUUCAAAUACAACGGGUGCAAAACAGUUGCACAUGCGGAAUACUCAGGUUUAACUUGACGAGCCUAGCAUAUAACAGAUAUGGCCUCGGAACACGGAGACCGAAAGGUCGAGUGUGAAUCAUAUAGUAGAUAUGAUCAACAUAUUGAUGUUCACCAUUGAUACUACUCCAUCUCACAUGAUGAUCGGACAUGGUUUAGUUGAUUUGGAUCACGUGAUCACUUAGAGGAUUAGAGGGAUAUCUUUCUAAGUGGGAGUUCUUAAGUAAUAUGAUUAAUUGAACUUAAAUUUAUCAUGAACUUAGUACCUGAUAGUAUCUUGCUUGUCUAUGUUUGAUUGUAGAUAGAUGGCUCGUGUUGUUGUUCCGUUGAAAUUUAAUGCGUUCCUUGAGAAAACAAAGUUGAAAGAUGAUGGUAGCAAUUACACAAACUGGGUUCGUAACUUGAGGAUUAUCCUCAUUGCUGUACAGAAGAAUUAUGUCCUGGAAGCACUGCUAAGUGUCAAGCCUGCUGCAGGAGCAACACCAGAUGUUAUGAACGUCUGGCAGAGCAAAGCUGAUGACUACUCGAUAGUUCAGUGUGCCAUGCUUUACGGCUUAGAACCGGGUCUUCAACGACGUUUUGAACGUCAUGGAACAUAUGAGAUGUUCCAGGAGUUGAAGUUAAUAUUUCAAGCAAAUGCCCGGAUUGAGAGAUAUGAAGUCUCCAAUAAGUUCUAUAGCUGCAAGAUGGAGGAGAAUAGUUCUGUCAGUGAACAUAUACUCAAAAUGUCUGGGUAUCAUAAUCACUUAACUCAACUAGGGGUUAAUCUUCCUGUUGAUAGUGUCAUUGACAGAGUUCUUCAAUCACUGCCACCAACCUACAAAAGCUUCGUGAUAAACUAUAAUAUGCAAGGGAUGAAUAAGACUAUUCCUAAGCUCUUCGCAAUGCUAAAAGCCGCAAAGGUAGAAAUCAAGAAGGAGCAUCAAGUGUUGAUGGUCAAUAAGACCACCAGUUUCAAGAAAAAGGGCAAAGGAAAGAAGAAAGGGAACUUCAGGAAGAACAGCAAACAAGUUGCUGCUCAGGAGAAGAAACCCAAGUCUGGACCUAAGCCUGAGACUGAGUGCUUCUACUGCAAGCAAACUGGUCACUGGAAGCGGAACUACCCCAAGUAUUUGGCGGAUAAGAAGGAUGGCAAAGUGAACAAAGGUAUAUGUGAUAUACAUGUUAUUGAUGUGUACCUUACUAAUACUCGCAGUAGCACCUGGGUAUUUGAUACUGGUUCUGUUGCUAACAUUUGCAACUCGAAACAGGGGCUAUGGAUUAAGCGAAGAUUGGCUAAGGAUGAGGUGACGAUGCGCGUGGGAAAUGGUUCCAAAGUUGAUGUGAUCGCGGUCGGCACGCUACCUCUACAUCUACCUUCAGGAUUAGUAUUAGACCUAAAUAAUUGUUAUUUGGUGCCAGCGUUGAGCAUGAACAUUAUAUCUGGAUCUUGUUUGAUGCGAGACGGUUAUUCAUUUAAAUCAGAGAAUAAUGGUUGUUCUAUUUAUAUGAGUAAUAUCUUUUAUGGUCAUGCACCCUUGAAGAGUGGUCUAUUUUUGAUGAAUCUCGAUGGUAGUGAUACAUAUAUUCAUAAUGUUGAAAUCAAAAGAUGCAGAGUUGAUAAUGAUAGUGCAACUUAUUUGUGGGACUGCCGUUUAGGUCAUAUCGAUGUAAAGCGCAUGAAGAAACUCCAUACUGAUGGACUUUUGGAACCACUUGAUUAUGAAUCACUUGGUACUUGCAAACCGUGCCUCAUGGGUAAGAUGACUAAAACGCAGUUCUCCGGUACUAUGGAGAGAGCAACAGAUUUGUUGGAAAUCAUACAUACAGAUGUAUGUGGUCCAAUGAAUGUUGAGGCUCGUGGCGGAUAUCGUUAUUUUCUCACCUUCACAGAUGAUUUAAGCAGAUAUGGGUAUAUCUACUUAACGAAACAUAAGUCUGAAACAUUUGAAAAGUUCAAAGAAUUUCAGAGUGAAGUUGAAAAUCAUCGUAACAAGAAAAUAAAGUUUCUACGAUCUGAUCGUGGAGGAGAAUAUUUGAGUUACGAGUUUGGUCUACAUUUGAAACAAUGCGGAAUAGUUUCGCAACUCACACCACCCGGAACACCACAGCGUAAUGGUGUGUCCGAACAUCGUAAUCGUACUUUAUUAGAUAUGCUGCGAUCUAUGAUGUCUCUUACUGAUUUACCGUUAUCAUUUUGGGGUUAUGCUUUAGAGAUGGCUGCAUUCACGUUAAAUAGGACACCAUCGAAAUCCGUUAAGACGGCGCCUUAUGAACUGUGGUUUGGCAAGAAACCAAAGUUGUCAUUUCUAAAAGUUUGGGGCUGCGAUGCUUAUGUGAAAAAGCUUCAACCUGAUAAGCUCGAACCCAAAUCGGAGAAAUGUGUCUUCAUAGGAUACCCAAAGGAGACUGUUGGGUACACCUUCUAUCACAGAUCCGAAGGCAAGACUUUUGUUGCUAAAUUCAGAGUUUUUCUAGAGAAGGAGUUUCUCUCGAAAGAAGUGAGUGGGAGAAAAGUAGAACUUGAUGAGGUAACUGUACCUACUUCCUUAUUGGAAAGUAGUACAUCACAGAAACCGGUUUCUGUGACACCUACACCAAUUAGUGAGGAAGCUAAUGAUAUUGAUCAUGAAACUUCAGAUCAAGUUACUACCAAACCUCGUAGAUCAACCAGAGUAAGAUCCGCACCAGAGUGGUACGGUAAUCCUGUUCUGGAAGUCAUGCUACUAGAUCAUGAUGAACCUACAAACUAUGAAGAAGCGAUGGUGAGCCCAGAUUCCUCAAAAUGGCUAGAAGCCAUGAAAUCUAAGAUGGGAUCCAUGUAUGAGAAUAAAGUGUGGACUUUCUUUGACUUGCCCGUUGAUCGGCAAGCAAUUGAGAAUAAAUGGAUCUUCAAGAAGAAGACUGACGCUGACGGUAAUGUUACAGUCUAUAAAGCUCGACUUGUUGCAAAAGAUUUUCGACAAGUUCAAGGGAUUGACUACGAUGAGACCUUCUCACCUGUAGCGAUGUUUAAGUCUAUCCGAAUCAUGUUAGCAAUUGCCGCAUUUUAUGAUUAUGAAAUUUGGCAAAUGGAUGUCAAAACUGCAUUCCUGAAUGGAUUUCUGGAAGAAGAGUUGUAUAUGAUGCAACCAGAAGGUUUUGUUGAUCCAAAGGGAGCUAACAAAGUAUGCAAGCUCCAGCGAUCCAUUUAUGGACUGGUGCAAGCCUCUCGGAGUUGGAAUAAACGCUUUGAUAGUGUGAUCAAAGCAUUUGGUUUUGUACAGACUUUUGGAGAAGCCUGUAUUUACAAAAAAGUGAGUGGGAGCUCUGUAGCAUUUCUGAUAUUAUAUGUGGAUGGCAUAUUAUUGAUUGGAAAUGAUAUAGAAUUUCUGAAUAGCAUAAAGGGAUACUUGAAUAAGAGCUUUUCAAUGAAAGACCUCGGUGAAGCUGCUUACAUAUUAGGCAUAAAGACCUAUAGAGAUAGAUCAAAACGCUUAAUUGGACUUUCACAAACAACAUACCUUGACAAAAUUUUGAAGAAGUUCAAAAUGGAUCAAGCAAAGAAGAUUCUUGCCUGUGUUACAAGGUGUGAAAUUGAGUAAGACUCAAUGCCCGACCACUGCAGAAGAUAGAGAGAAUAUGAAAGAUGUUCCCUAUGCUUCAGCGAUAGGAUCUAUCAUGUAUGCAAUGCUGUGUACCAGACCUGAUGUGUGCCUUGCUAUAAGUCUAGCAGGGAGGUACCAAAGUAAUCCAGGAGUGGAUCACUGGACAGCGGUCAAGAACAUCCUGAAAUACCUGAAAAGGACUAAGGAUAUGUUUCUCGUAUAAGGAGGUGACAAAGAGCUCAUCGUAAAUGGUUACGUUGAUGCAAGCUUUGACACUGAUCCAGACGAUUCUAAAUCGCAAACCGGAUACAUGUUUUUACUGAACGGUGGAGCUGUCAGUUGGUGCAGUUCUAAACAAAGCGUUGUGGCGGGAUCUACAUGUGAAGCAGAGUACAUAGCUGCUUCGGAAGCAUCAAAUGAAGGAGUCUGGAUGAAGGAGUUCAUAUACGAUCUAGGUGUCAUACCUAGUGCAUUGAGUCCAAUGAAAAUCUUUUGUGACAAUAAUGGUGCAAUUGCCUUGGCAAAGGAAUCCAGAUUUCACAAGAGAACCAAGCACAUCAAGAGAUGCUUCAAUUCCAUUCGGGAUUUAGUCCAAGUGGGAGACAUAGAAAUUUGCAAGAUACAUACGGAUCUGAAUGUUGCAGACCCGCUGACUAAGCCUCUUCCAUGAGCAAAACAUGAUCAACACCAAGGCUCCAUGGGUGUUAGAAUCAUUACUGUGUAAUCUAGAUUAUUGACUCUAGUGCAAGUGGGAGACUGAAGGAAAUAUGCCCUACAGGCAAUAAUAAAGUUAUUAUUUAUUUCCUUAUAUCAUGAUAAAUGUUUAUUAUUCAUGCUAGAAUUGUAUUAACCGGAAACAUAAUACAUGUGUGAAUACAUAGACAAACAUAGUGUCACUAGUAUGCCUCUACUUGACUAGCUCGUUGAUCAAAGAUGGUUAUGUUUCCUAACCAUAGACAUGAGUUGUCAUUUGAUUAAUGGGAUCACAUCAUUAGGAGAAUGAUGUGAUUGACUUGACCCAUUUCGUUAGCUUAGCACUUGAUCGUUUAGUUUGUUGCUAUUGCUUUCUUCAUGACUUAUACAUGUUCCUAUGACUAUGAGAUUAUGCAACUCCCGUUUACCGGGGGAACACUUUGUGUGCUACCAAACGUCACAACGUAACUGGGUGAUUAUAAAGGUGCUCUACAGGUGUCUCCGAAGGUACUUGUUGGGUUGGCGUAUUUCGAGAUUAGGAUUUGUCACUCCGAUUGUCGGAGAGGUAUCUCUGGGCCCUCUCGGUAAUGCACAUCACAUAAGCCUUGCAAGCAUUGCAACUAAUAAGUUAGUUGCGGGAUGAUGUAUUACGGAACGAGUAAAGAGACUUGCGGUAACGAGAUUGAACUAGGUAUUGAGAUACCGAUGAUCAAAUCUCGGACAAGUGACAUACCGAUGACAAAGGGAACAACGUAUGUUGUUAUGCGGUCUGACCGAUAAAAGAUCUUCGUAGAAUAUGUAGGAACCAAUAUGAGCAUCCAGGUUCCGCUAUUGGUUAUUGACCGGAGACGUGUCUCGGUCAUGUCUACAUUGUUCUCGAACCCAUAGGGUCCGCACGCUUAACGUUACGAUGAUAGUUUCAUUAUGAGUUUAUAUAUUUUGAUGUACCGAAGGUUGUUCGGAGUUCUGGAUGUGAUCACGAACAUAACGAGGAGUCUCGAAAUAGUCGAGACAUAAAGAUUGAUAUAUUGGAUGACUAUAUUCGGACACAGGAAUGGUUCCGGGAGUUAUCGNNNNNNNNNNNNNNNNNNNNNNNNNNNNNNNNNNNNNNNNNNNNNNNNNNNNNNNNNNNNNNNNNNNNNNNNNNNNNNNNNNNNNNNNNNNNNNNNNNNNNNNNNNNNNNNNNNNNNNNNNNNNNNNNNNNNNNNNNNNNNNNNNNNNNNNNNNNNNNNNNNNNNNNNNNNNNNNNNNNNNNNNNNNNNNNNNNNNNNNNNNNNNNNNNNNNNNNNNNNNCGGCGCCCCCCUUUCCUUUCUCUCCUCUCUCCCUUCCUUCCCCCUCUCCUAGUUGGACAAGGAAAGGAGGGAGUCCUACUCCCGGUAGGAGUAGGACUCCUCCCUGGCGCGCCUCCUCCUGGCCGGCCGCCCCUCCCCCUUGCUCCUUUAUAUACGGGGGCAGGGGGCACCUCUAGACACAACAAUUGAUCCUUGAGAUCUAUUAGCCGUGUGCGGUGCCCUCCUCCACCAUAAUCCUCGAUAAUAUUGUAGCGGUGCUUAGGCGAAGCCCUGCGACGAUAGAACAUCAAGAUCGUCACCACGCCGUCGUGCUGACGGAACUGAACGCCGUCGUGCUGACGGAACCGCCGACAUUCUGCUGGAUCGGAGUCCGGGGAUCGUCAUCGAGCUGAACGUGUGCUAGAACUCGGAGGUACCAUAGUUUCGGUGCUUGAUCGGUCGGGCCAUGAAGACGUACGACUACAUCAACUGCGUUGUGCUAAUGCUUCCGCUUCUGGUCUACGAGGGUACGUAGACAACACUCUCCCCUCUCGUUGCUAUGCAUCACCAUGAUCUUGUGUGUGGGUAGGAUUUUUUUUGAAAUUACUACAUUCCCCAACAGUAGUUUCCAAGUUUUGGCUAUGAAUUACAUGAAUACAUACAAACCGAACUCAGUUUUCGCUUCACACAAAUAAAACUUAGUUUUCAUUUGGAACAAGCAUUGGUGUAGAAUUGGUAACCUUGGUGGAAAAUACAUAGCA
rnacentral:lncRNA from 1 species